rnacentral:rRNA from 1 species
UGAAACUGCGAAUGGCUCAUUAAAUCAGUUAUAGUUUAUUUGAUAGUACAAUUACUACUUGGAUAACCGUGGUAAUUCUAGAGCUAAUACAUGCAUAAAAGUCCCGACUUCUGGAAGGGACGUAUUUAUUAGAUAAAAACCAAUAA